UACGGGGGGGGCAAGCGUUGUUCGGAAUUACUGGGCGUAAAGGGCAAGUAGGUGGUCUCAUUUGUCUGGGGUGAAAGCCUUGAGCUUAACUCAAGAAGUGCCCCGGAAACGGUGAGACUCGAGUACUGGAGAGGGUCGUGGAAUUCCCGGUGUAGCGGUGAAAUGCGUAGAGAUCGGGAGGAACACCUGAGGCGAAGGCGGUUCUCUGGGCCAAUACUGACGCUGAGGAGCGAAAGCGUGGGGAGCGAACAGG
rnacentral:rRNA from 1 species